UUUAGGUUUAAGUUAUACUUUCAUGGAUGAGAUUAGCCAAAACCUCUCAUUUUUUCUUCUUCAUAAGACGAAACCCACAAAAGACAUCAUCCGCAACAACUCCAAACAGCGUCUGCAGCAGCCAUCGUCACCGAUGUUCCCUUUCCCCCAUUUUAGGGGAUUUUCAAAUCCUUUCACUGUUAUCUUGAUAAGAGGCAGAGGAAUUUGAAUUUCAAAUUCAAAAUUUCACCCGUUUUCCUCCUUAAUCGGCCCUAAUUUUCCUCUAUACAAACUACCCUUAACCAUUGUUGAAGGGAGGAGCGAGCAUAGAUAGAGGAUUUUGGAGUUUGAGUUCUUUGGCAAUAGUCUUUUUACACUUAAAAAUUUUAUAUUUAGAUCUCUAAUUCUAUGUUCUAAGAAGGUCGCCACUCAUAUUUUCUUGGCCUGUUGUUCAUUUAUUCAAAUUUUGGGGUAGAAGAACCACUGCCCUCCUUUGCUCGUCGUCAUAGUCGCUACUCCAAUAAAGUUGAUCCAUAAAGGCUCGAUCUUUGUUUUCCCUAUUUCUUUGAUCAGCCCUCUAUACAUACAAAAGUUGUUACAGGUCCCGGAGACCCAACAUACUGCUGGAAAUUAGUUUUAGAAGCCCAAGAAAUGUAUUGUAUACAUAUUGUAAACAACAUUAUACAUUGAUAUACAAUUUUGCUACAAAAACUAAGUUGUCAAACACAAAGAUACAGGUUGGAGGUGUUAAAGCUAAAGGUAUACAGUUGGUAUACAUCCCAAGAUAUAGGAAACGCGGCUAAUAUACAAGAUCUUGAUAUAAAACCUGUGUAUACAGAAAUGGAAAUUGGUUCAAAGUCCAAAAAGUAGCAUCUUCGGCCCAAUAUUUCUAGGCAGUAAUUGGCCCAAAGGGCCCAAAUUCUUCUCUCCCUCUCUUUAUUAUUUAAUUGUCAUAAUUUAUUAAUUAUUUGUUUUUCUUA